GCGGGGAAUUGUAGACAUCACGUGGCAAAAUUUAACCAUUAAGAUUUCGUUGAAAGACCUUUUCCAUUAUUACAGAAUUUAAUUAGACACAGAAACAUUAAGUAGCUAGACAAAUUAUUGAAACAGUUGGUCGUAAAAGUAAUAGUUAUAUAGAAGGUAUUGGUGUAUUUCUACAAUGCCAGCUCAACGGGUUGUAAAAUAGUA
rnacentral:lncRNA from 1 species